ACAAUUGCAUGUUUCCUGUUGAGUUUUAGUUUUUUACCCAAAAUGCAUCUGUCCUUUCUUCACCUUGUGGAGCAAAGGUCAUAAAGAUGCUCACCUGGAUGCUAAGCAGUAGUUCCGAGCCCCUGCUCUUCAACCGAACUCCUCCGCAGGAAACUUGAGGCGGCUCAGUCCUGGAAGUCUCCGGAGGUCUCCAUGAGUUUCUGCGCGGACACGACGUCUCGCUCCUUCCCAUCAAAUUUCAUUCUCCGCCGUGGAAGAACAAGAAAAAGAAGAGAGUUUCCACAGGACUCCAGCGUUGCCAGACUGAUGCUAAAAAUCACCACAGAGGGAAAGGUGUUGUUGUUAAUAAAUCCUCGACAGUGUGCGUCUCCGUGGCGACCGUUGAGGGCCAGGUCUGAGUCCGUGUAGCCGGAGAAGAGAACCGGGCAGAAGUUGACCUUGAGGGUGAUGGUCUGCACCCCGCAGUACACGCUGAUGUCCCUCUCCGCUGAACGACACAGACAAGAAAAGCUUUCAGUCAUCGUUUCCGAUUUUUUUUCCCAUUUUUAUGUUUCCGUUCUGAGGCAGAAGGUGAGAUGUUUGGAGGUCCUCACCGGGGAAUCGGCUGUGAAAGUUGGCAUCACAGUUGUAUCCGUUGAACUGAGCUCCAGCAAAAAGGGUCUUAAUAAACAUUAAAAGAAUAAAAAAUAUACUUUCCAUUUCAGCACCUGAAAGAAGGGAAAGAAAUCGUAUUUAUGUAUC